CCUACGGGUGGCAGCAGUGGGGAAUAUUGGACAAUGGGCGAAAGCCUGAUCCAGCCAUGCCGCGUGUGUGAAGAAGGCCUUUUGGUUGUAAAGCACUUUAAGUGGGGAGGAAAAGUUGACGGUUAAUACCCGCCAGCCCUGACGUUACCCACAGAAUAAGCACCGGCUAACUCUGUGCCAGCAGCCGCGGUAAUACAGAGGGUGCAAGCGUUAAUCGGAAUUACUGGGCGUAAAGCGAGCGUAGGUGGUCAUUUAAGUCAGAUGUGAAAUCCCCGGGCUUAACCUGGGAACUGCAUCUGAUACUGGGUGACUAGAGUAGGUGAGAGGGAAGUAGAAUUCCAGGUGUAGCGGUGAAAUGCGUAGAGAUCUGGAGGAAUACCGAUGGCGAAGGCAGCUUCCUGGCAUCAUACUGACACUGAGGUUCGAAAGCGUGGGUAGCAAACAGGAUUAGAUACCCUUGUAGUC
rnacentral:rRNA from 1 species